AUUGAACGCUGGCGGCAUGCUUUACACAUGCAAGUCGAACGGCAGCGCGGGGCAACCUGGCGGCGAGUGGCGAACGGGUGAGUAAUAUAUCGGAACGUACCCAGAAGUGGGGGAUAACGUAGCGAAAGUUACGCUAAUACCGCAUACGAUCUACGGAGGAAAGUAGGGGACCGCAAGGCCUUAUGCUUUUGGAGCGGCCGAUAUCUGAUUAGCUAGUUGGUGAGGUAAAGGCUCACCAAGGCGACGAUCAGUAGCUGGUCUGAGAGGACGACCAGCCACACUGGAACUGAGACACGGUCCAGACUCCUACGGGAGGCAGCAGUGGGGAAUUUUGGACAAUGGGCGCAAGCCUGAUCCAGCAAUGCCGCGUGAGUGAAGAAGGCCUUCGGGUUGUAAAGCUCUUUUGUCAGGGAAGAAACGGUAGAGGCUAAUAUCCUUUGCUAAUGACGGUACCUGAAGAAUAAGCACCGGCUAACUACGUG
rnacentral:rRNA from 1 species